GAUGAACGCUGGCGGCGUGCCUAAUACAUGCAAGUCGAGCGAACAGACGAGGAGCUUGCUCCUCUGACGUUAGCGGCGGACGGGUGAGUAACACGUGGAUAACCUACCUAUAAGACUGGGAUAACUUCGGGAAACCGGAGCUAAUACCGGAUAAUAUAUUGAACCGCAUGGUUCAAUAGUGAAAGACGGUUUUGCUGUCACUUAUAGAUGGAUCCGCGCCGCAUUAGCUAGUUGGUAAGGUAACGGCUUACCAAGGCAACGAUGCGUAGCCGACCUGAGGGGGAGGAGGAGCAGAGGGUAGGAGAGAACGGUCAGAGACACUGGGGGGGGGAAAAGGAAGGGAAUCUUCAGGGAGGGAGAAGUGCGGAAGGGAGCGACGCGGGGGAAAGAAGGAAGGAGUUAGGAAGUAAGAAGUAUGUAGGUAGGAAGAAAAAAAAAUGAAAGAAACGGGGAAGGUAAUGACGGUACAAAAAGAAAAAGCCCCGGCUAACUCCGUG
rnacentral:rRNA from 1 species